rnacentral:rRNA from 1 species
GACAGAGGAGCCAAGCGUUGUCCGGAUUGACUGGGCGUAAAGCGCACGCAGGCGGUCGCGCGCGUGGGGUGUGAAAUCUGGCCGCUUAACGGCCAGGCGCCAUCCCAUACGGCGCGACUGGAGUGAUGCAGAGGUCGAUGGAAUUGCCGGUGUAGUGGUGAAAUGCGCAGAUAUCAGGAGGAACACCGAUGGCGAAGGCAGCUCGCUGGGACGGUACUGACGCUGAGGCGCGAAAGCGUGGGGAGCAAACAGG